AACGAACGCUGGCGGCAUGCCUAAUACAUGCAAGUCGAACGAGAUCUUCGGAUCUAGUGGCGCACGGGUGCGUAACGCGUGGGAAUCUGCCCUUGGGUUCGGAAUAACAGUUAGAAAUGACUGCUAAUACCGGAUGAUGACGUAAGUCCAAAGAUUUAUCGCCCAAGGAUGAGCCCGCGUAGGAUUAGCUUGUUGGUGAGGUAAAGGCUCACCAAGGCUACGAUCCUUAGCUGGUCUGAGAGGAUGAUCAGCCACACUGGGACUGAGACACGGCCCAGACUCCUACGGGAGGCAGCAGUAGGGAAUAUUGGACAAUGGGCGAAAGCCUGAUCCAGCAAUGCCGCGUGAGCGAUGAAGGCCUUAGGGUUGUAAAGCUCUUUUACCCGGGAUGAUAAUGACAGUACCGGGAGAAUAAGCCCCGGCUAACUCCGUG
rnacentral:rRNA from 1 species